AGAAGAUGAAGGUCAUCGUAGUUACAAGGAGUGGUAGAGAGCUUUUCAAGGGUGGCCUUGAGCUCAGUGACUCUGUGAUAACUUUAUUCCACUGGAUUAGAGUUUUGGACUAGAGAUUCAAAAUUUAUGUGAAUUUGAACUAUUGAAGAGUUAAAGUUCAGUUCUUAAGUUCAUGCUUUAGAGUAUAGUGGAACCCAUUUGUUAGAUUUUUCUGAC
rnacentral:lncRNA from 1 species